ACCUGGCAGGGCUGACUCUGGGAAUACGAUUUUAAAGCCCAGGUCCUCCAUGUUUCCCUCGGACUCCUCUCUAUCUCUCUCCUUCACUCCUCCAUCAGCCUCUCCUCCCGGAAGUGUGAACAGGGCUCCUCUCAGCCAAUCAGAAGCUUCAAACGCCUUCAGCUGACCUACCAGGCCGAAGCCACGCCCCCUGAACGCGACCUUCGACCUUAACAACGGGGGAGUCUUUAGAUACCGUCUCCCAGCAACGUGACCGCCACUUCACCCGAAACAAAAUGCUCGUGACCAGAAAACCCCGCCCCUUUUGGUCGAGCGGCUGCUCUGAUUGGC